rnacentral:lncRNA from 1 species
CUCCUCCUCCGCUCUCCUCUUCUCUCUCCCUAUUUUCUAGAUUACAACUAGAACUAACUAGAACUAGAACUAGAGGAACUAGAACUAGAACUAGAUGAACUAGAACUAGAUCUAGAUGAACUAGAGGUAGAACUAGAAGAACUAGAGGGAUCCUCUCUACUUGGAUGAAGAAUUGAAACCCUAGCUUUGAUUCUGUAGAAGAGGUAUGAUCUCCAGAAGCCAGGGGGCCUUGCUUAUAUAGUCUUUUCAGAUGAAUCUAGGCCGUCGGAUCAAACCGACAUUGAUCGUGUGGUUUUCCUUGAAGUAUUAGGUCGGUGGAGCAUGAUCCCCGAACUUCGCCCUGAUUGGUCAGGGGGGAGGGCGGGCGCCCAGUAAGAGAGGGCGGGCGCCCAGUGCCCGGCUCCGUCACGUCUCCCGUUCGCUCCCGUGGCUUCUAGACUCUUCUAGAUGGCAGAUAUUUGCGCGUCAAGUUAAUAUCCCGUCAUUAACCCGACAUGUGGGUCUCUUUUCCAUAUUUCCUGAUAACCCCUGCAGAAAUAGACAAACACCAAAACUCGUGGAAUUCUGUCAGAUAAAACCCUAAGUCUAGGUGUUGGUUGCAUUUGGAUCCUUUUCCAUUAUUAGUUGAUGGUUAAAUGUGAGCAUUAAGGACCGUCAACAAGCUCCCCCAAGCUUAACCUUUGCUCGUCUCUGAGCAAAACUAAAAUCAGCAAGAAAAUAGGGGUUACUUUUAUGCCUCUUACUACAGGGUUUUAAGGUCUUAAGUGAUUGAAAAACAGAACGAUCAAGUCAAGCACUAUGUCUCAAGUUCUUCUGUCUUACCUUUGUUCUGGAGUUUUUUUAUAAGUCUGCAAAAUAAAACUGAGGCAUUUGCCUUCUUCUCAAAAGAUAUAUAAGUAGAGCUUUAAAAGUUUUAGCAUACUUACUUUGCAUUUUGCUAUGUCAACGCUCGAAGCAAGGGAGAGGAAUGUCAUACUCCUAGAUCAAGACCUUUGACCUUUUUGAAAUGUUUGCCAUCUCUUACUGGCAUAUUGCUUAUUAGAGGGACCAUGGGCUAUCAUUUUUUUUCUUUUUUUUCUCUUUUUUUUCAGUCUCCUUUUUUUUAAGUGGGCAGCAAGUACCCCUAAUUCUACUGUCGGACACAUGUCCAUUUUUUCCACUCAGGUGGGUAUCUUUGUACCCCUAAUUCUACUUCGGACACUUGUCUAUUUUUACCUCUCGUCUCACUCUUUUUUUUUGAAUCAAAUUUUUGCAUAGUCCCAUGCCUUUAACGCAAUAAUACUUCGGAAGAGUGAAUCUUUUAUAUUUUUAAAACAAAAAGAUCUUGAUCUUGGGAGCAUGAUAAUUCUCUCAACCAAAACUACAAGAAUUAACAAUGGCUUAAACAAAGCAAGUGACCACAGCUUUAAUAUUUAUAUCUUAUAAGACUCUAGGUAUUAUGAUCUCAUAUAUAUAUAUAUAUUUUAUGAAUUUUUAGAUUUUCAAAAGAUAAAAUCUCCAGAACUCUAGCAAAACUUGGAACAAGUUAAAUAGUAGCUCAGACCUGCUCAUAUCAUGUUUGUCAAUUACCUAGACUUGAAUCAAACUUUCUUUUUAUUUUAUUUAAAACUUAGGAUUACACAAAACUAUUGUAUAUUACUCAAAAGAAAAACUUUGUUUGGUUUCAUGGUUAUGCAUUUUUUAUUUCCGAAUACUAGUAAAUAAAACUAAGAAAGAAAAGUAAUACUUAUCUAGAUACACGUGGGGGUGCCUCCCCCAAGCUGGAUGUUGACAUAGUCGUUCACUCUUGUGGCCUGCAUGUUCGGUCUCACUCUUCUUAAGCCUCAAAAUCCUGCACAACCCAAAUAGACAACAAAACUCGUGGACCAUGUUAAGGGUUAGGUAAUUGUCUAGAGCUUAUGAGAGCUUAAUAUGAGAAUUCUAUAAACUCAAUCACAUCAAGUUCCUCUACCAGGUUGUUUUGUGGCUCAAGAUAGAUUUUCAAGCGUUGACCAUUUACCUUAAAAGUGUUACCUAUGUCAUUUUAGAUGGUAAUGGCUCCAUGUGUUGAAGUGUCAAUAACCUUGUAUGGUCCAUCCCACUUACUUCGUAGCUUACCAUGCCCAAAGAGCUUAACUCUUGAAUUGAAUAGUAGAACCUUAUCUCUAGGCUUAAACUCCUUGUGCUUGAUUCUCUUAUCAUGCCAUCAUUUUGUUCUCUCCUUAUAGAUCCUUGAAUUGUGGUAGGCUUUCUCUCUCCAUUCUUCUAGCUCAGAUAGUUGCAUCAGACGAUUCUUGCUAGCAAGGUGGAGAUCCAUGUCCCAUUUCUUGAGUGCCCAAUGAGCCUUAAACUCUACUUCCACAGGCAAAUGACAAGUUUUUCCAUAUACAAGUUGAUAAGGUGACAUGCCUAUGGGUGUUUUGAAUGCAGUUCUAUAUGCCCAAAGUGCAUCAGGAAGUUUGUCCUUCCACCCCUUACCCAUCUCAUCUACGGUCUUUUGUAAAAUAUUUUUGAUUUGUUUGUUAGAUGUUUCGGCUUGACCGCUAGUCUGAGGAUGGUAUGGUGUUGCGACGUUGUGUCGAACUCCAUGAUCAGCUAGGUACUUCCGGAAGAUUUUGUCAAUGAAGUGGGAACCACCAUCGCUUAUAACCAUCCGAGGUAUACCAAAGCGAGGAAAGAUUACUUCAUGGAACAUUCUCUUGGCAUGUUUUGAAUUAGCUGAUCGACAAGGUAGGGCUUCUACCCAUUUGGACACGUAGUCCACAGCUACUAAGAUAUACUCGCAAUUCCCGGACAUAGGGAACGGCCCCGUGAAAUCAAUGCCCCAUACAUCGAAAAGUUCUACUUGAAGAUUAUUUGUGAGAGGCAUUUCAUUUCGUGAGUUGAUAUUCCCAUGUUUUUGACAUCGGUGGCAUCUCCUGACAAAGUCCUUUGUAUCUUCAUACAUCGUUGGCCAGAAAAAGCCAUUUUGCCAAAUUUUAGCAUGUGUUCGAAAUGCUCCGUAGUGUCCUCCAUAUGGCGAGGCAUGGCAUCUUUCCAUAAUUUGAGUAGCCUCAGCCAUAGGAACACACCUUCUCAAGAGUCCAUCAGCGCAGACUCGGAAAAGAGAUGGCUCAUCCCAAAGGUGGAAACGACUAUCGUGAAGCAACUUCCUUUUGUUUGCACCAGGUGGGACAUAGCCUUUUACUAUAAAGUUUACGAUGUCCUCGUACCAUGGAUCUGCAUGUGUUAUCUUAAGCAGGGUGUCAUCCCUUAGGUAGUCAUUUAUGGGAAGCUCAUCAUGUGUUUCCUUAUACUGAAGCCUAGACAAGUGGUCGGCUACGGAAUUCUCAACUCCCUUCCUAUCUCGGAUUUCUAUGUCAAAGUCUUGGAGAAGAAGAAUCCAUCGAAUUAGACGAGGCUUAGCAUCUUUCUUAGUGAGGAGGUACUUGAGAGCAGCAUGGUCUGAAUAGAUGAUUAUCUUUGCCCCCACUAAGUAAGAUCUAAACUUGUCUAUAGCAAAGACAACAGCCAAAAGCUCUUUUUCAGUUGUAGUAUAAUUGAGCUGUGGUCCAGACAAGGUUUUGCUAGCGUAGGAUAUGGCAUAAUGCUUUCUAUCCUUGGUUUGUCCUAAAAUGGCAAAAACCGCAAAAUCGCUAGCAUCACACAUGAUCUCAAAAGGAAGAUUCCAAUCAGGUGGUUGGAUAAUCGGGGCUGAGAUGAGUGCUUUCUUAAGAGUUUGAAAAGAUUCAUGACACUCAUCACUAAAGAUGAAAGGUGCGUCCUUAGCUAGGAGAUUAGUUAGGGGUCUAGCAAUUUGAGAGAAAUUCUUGAUAAAGCGUCUAUAGAACCCUGCAUGUCCCAAAAAGCUACGGAUUCCUUUCACAUUCGUGGGAGGUGGAAGUUUUUCAAUAACUUCAAUCUUUGCUUUGUCCACCUCUAUAUUUCUCCCAGUUCAGGAUUAAGUGCUUUUCUUCACAUCGCUGCAAGACUCUAUCUAAAUUCUCUAAACAAUGAUCAAAGGUUUUGCCAUAGACGGUAAAAUCAUCCAUGAAAACCUCCAUGAUUUUCUCAAUCAUGUCUGAGAAAAUAGACAUCAUGCACCGUUGGAAAGAAGCUGGAGCAUUGCACAAUCCGAACGACAUUCGUCGGUAUGCAUAAGUUCCAUACGGGCAUGUAAAGGUAGUCUUUUCUUGGUCAUCUGGGUGGAUUGGGAUUUGGUGAUAUCCAGAAUAACCAUCAAGGAAACAAAAGAAAGAGUGGUUUGCAAGCCGUUCCAACAUUUCAUCAAUGAAGGGUAACAGAAAAUGAUCUUUCUUUGUAGCCUUAUUGAGUUUUCGAUAGUCAAUACACAUACGCCACCCAGUGACAAUUCGUUGAGGGAUGAGUUCAUUCUUCUCAUUCCUAACGACCGUCAUUCCUCCUUUCUUUGGCACUACUUGGACAGGGCUAACCCACUCACUAUGUGGCACAGGAUAAAUAAUCCCAGCACGAUAGAGUUUGAGGACCUCUUUCUUAACAACCUCUCGCAUAGCAUUGUUAAGUCUCCGUUGUGGUUCCCUUGAAGGUGUAGAAUUGGGAUCAAUAGGGAUACGAUGAGUACAGAGAAUGGGACUAAUGCCCGUGAGAUCUUCGAGAGAGUAGCCAAAUGCUGAUCUAUGCCUUUCAAGAACAGUGAUAAGUUGUUGUGUUUCAUAAUCAGAAAGCUUGUCACUCAUAAUUACUGGAGUUUUUGGGUUGUUGUGCAAAAAGACAUAUCUAAGGCCAGAAGGAAGAGGCUUUAGCUCUAUUGAAGGAGGUGAAGGUUGUUCAUUUUUGUCUAGCUCAACGGGUUCUACCAACUCUUCUUCUUCUUGAACAAAGUGUUCAUGAUUAAAGAAUGGUUGGGCCAUCUCCUCUUGAUUCAGCAUUAAGAUCUCCUCAAUAGGAUCUGGUUCAAGUUUGGGUUCCACUAUCGUGUUAAUUGAUCUAGCAAGAGGAACAACAAUAGUGGAAUUCCCAACCUUGAAGUCUAAAUGACCUCGUUGUGGUUGUUCUUGUAGAAGUUUCAUGAUUGGUCUGCCAAUCAAGAGAGGAAUCUCCGGUAUGUCGUAAAUGUGAAAAUCUAGACAUAUUCCUGAGUCCUUGAUUCUAACAGGAACUGCCCUUAAUACCCCAUGGCUUUCUAGAAUUAAUCUAGAUGGACUUUGUAAAAGUUUUUGAGAUGGGGUUAUGGACUCGUAGGGAUAAAGAGUGUCAGCUAACUCCUUGGAAAUAACAUUUAUCCCAACAUAUGGAUUGUAGUGGAUCUUCCUAGCGGACCUUCUAACUUGGCAUAGAAGAAUGGUUGAAGGAGUGAUGAUCCGAGCUAUCUCAGGAGACAGCUCAGCUUCUGUUAGCCAUUCAUAACUCAGAAUAGCCGAAAGGCUUUUGAUGUGUUCUAUGUCAAUAGAUUCUACUCUUAGAACGGAUUGAGUGGUCCCUGCUAGAGGUCAUGUUUGGAUAGGAAAAUUCGAGGUGUUUCCAUAAUCUUCAAAAAGAUCUUCCUCGAAUUCAAAGGGAUGCUCUAAAGGUGGUGGUUCAUCAUCCCUUAGUUGGUUUUGCAUUCCUUUAUCGGGAGGUUUCUCUACAACCAAAUUAAUGGAUGGGUCAGGUGGAAUUUCUAACUCGGUUGCAAGUUCCUCAUCUUUUAGUUUAGGAUCAGGCUCGACUUCUUUUUCUUCUUCAGGAAACUCAUCAUAAAUGCCUGUGUAAGGGGUAUUUUCAAGGAUUCUCUCUAGGAUAGCUCUCCCCUCAUCUGUGAGUUUGUGUGUGAAUGAGCCUCCUGAAGCAAUGUCGAGGUGAAGAGCAGCUUCCUUGUUUAGACCACGAUAAAAGUGGUAGUACAGUACAUGGUCAGACAGGGAAAGGUUUGGACCGGAAUUGGUAAGGCUUGUGAACCUAGCCCAAGCUGCUCCUAAAGUUUCCUUCUCUCUUUGUUUGAAUGUAAGAAUUUCAAUUCUAAGGUCAGCAAUUCAAAAAAGUGGGAAGAAAGCGAGACAAAAGGUGUCCCAAGUUCAUCCCAACUUCCAUUAACGCCUCCUACAGAAUGAGCAUACCACUUUUUUGCUCUUCCCAAAAGGGAGAAUGGAAAUAAUUUCCAUUUAAGGGUUUCUUGUGUCAUGCCAGAAAUAGAUCGGCAAGAGCACAACUGCUCAAAUUCUCUAAGGUGAGUGUAUGGAUCUUCAUCUACUUCCCCAGAGAAGGGUUGCUCCUGAAUCAUGGCUAUUAGAUCAGGGCCGAGGUCGUAGCCAUCUGUAAGAAUUGGAUGUGAUGAUGGUGGUGACUCUAAUAACUCGCCCUUUGGAGCAAAGAAUUUAUAGAUUGGAGUGAAAUCCAUGUGGUAUGGUGAAAAUGGUAAGGUGAGUGUGGUAAAAAGGAAAAGAAAAAGGAUACACGGAUGACUUGGUUCGAAACUAGCACAGCUACCGCUCCCCGGCAACGGCGCCAGAAAGCUUGUUGGGUAAUUUAAACGCAAACAGAAAAAUCCACAAGCGCACGGAUACCGAUGUAGCCUUCACCCGGGAGUAUUCCAGAGUAUCAAUUUUCCACAGAGAACGUGAGUGUACUAACUAAGAUCCAAGAUCGCCCAAGGAUAACUAUAUAAUUAUUUUUAAUGGGAAGAGAGGAAGUUUCCUGAGAGUUCUCUAGUUGAUCUAAGAAUCAAGAAUUACUUCAAAGAUUAUUUAUAUCGGGACAUCAGAGCACUAACCACAGAAAGAGAUGAGAAGGGGGCUAGGAAGGUCUGACUAUGGUCCUACAAACACCGAUCCGAACGAGGUGGAAUACGUCGACCGUUAGGACUGUCACUACCCUAAGGCUACCACAACAAUCCGCAGGAUUGGGUGCAAUUCUAGGUAAUUGCAAGACUAAACACCACGUCUAAUCUAUUAAUUACUACUCUAAUGUUGCAAAGAUUAGAGCACUUGAUGCAAGCGGGAAUCCAAUAAAUAACUUGAAUGUAAAUAAAAGUAAUUAAAGAACUCAGGAUUAUGAAUUGAAGAACCUGGAGAACGAUGAAGAACGAACCAGUUGCUGCAAAAGUACAAUGUUGAGGAAGAUCCGACAGAUCCGGCUCCUCCUCCUCCGCUCUCCUCUUCUCUCUCCCUAUUUUCUAGAUUACAACUAGAACUAACUAGAACUAGAACUAGAGGAACUAGAACUAGAACUAGAUGAACUAGAACUAGAUCUAGAUGAACUAGAGGUAGAACUAGAAGAACUAGAAGAACUAGAGGGAUCCUCUCUACUUGGAUGAAGAAUUGAAACCCUAGCUUUGACUCUGUAGAAGAGGUAUGAUCUCCAAGGGCCAGGGGGCCUUGCUUAUAUAGUCUUUUCAGAUGAAUCUGGGCCGUCGGAUCAAACCGACAUUGAUCGUGUGGUUUUCCUUGAAGUAUUAGGUCGGUGGAGCAUGAUCCCCGAACUUCACCCUGAUUG